rnacentral:rRNA from 1 species
GACGAACGCUGGCGGCGUGCUUAACACAUGCAAGUCGAACGGACAGACAGAGAGCUUGCUCUCUUGAAGUUAGUGGCGAACGGGUGAGUAACGCGUAAUCAACCUGCCCUUCAGAGGGGGAUAACAACGGGAAACCGUUGCUAAUACCGCGUACGAUUCAUGAACGGCAUCGUUUAUGAAUGAAAGGUGGCCUCUAUGUAUAAGCUAUCGCUGAAGGAGGGGAUUGCGUCUGAGUAGCUAGUUGGAGGGGUAACGGCCCACCAAGGCAAUGAUCAGUAGCCGGUCUGAGAGGAUGAACGGCCACAUUGGGACUGAGACACGGCCCAAACUCCUACGGGAGGCAGCAGUGGGGAAUCUUCCGCAAUGGACGAAAGUCUGACGGAGCAACGCCGCGCGAGUGAUGAAGGUCUUCGGAUUGUAAAGCUCUGUUAAUCGGGACGAAAGAGUUCUGCGUGAAUAAUGCAGAAAAGUGACGGUACCGGAAUAGAAAGCCACGGCUAACUACGUGCCAGCCGCCGCGGUAA